AUUGAACGCUGGCGGCAUGCUUUACACAUGCAAGUCGAACGGCAGCACGGGUGCUUGCACCUGGUGGCGAGUGGCGGACGGGUGAGUAAUGCAUCGGAACGUGUCCUGAAGUGGGGGAUAACGCAUCGAAAGAUGUGCUAAUACCGCAUAUUCUCUGAGGAGGAAAGUAGGGGAUCGAAAGACCUUAUGCUUUUGGAGCGGCCGAUGUCUGAUUAGCUAGUUGGUAGGGUAAUGGCUUACCAAGGCGACGAUCAGUAGUUGGUCUGAGAGGACGACCAGCCACACUGGGACUGAGACACGGCCCAGACUCCUACGGGAGGCAGCAGUGGGGAAUUUUGGACAAUGGGCGCAAGCCUGAUCCAGCAAUGCCGCGUGAGUGAAGAAGGCCUUCGGUGUUAAAGGUACUCUUUCAGUUGUAGAAGAAAAGUACGUAGACUAAUAAUACAUAGAUUCAUGACGGUAUCAACAAGAAGAAGAC
rnacentral:rRNA from 1 species